rnacentral:rRNA from 1 species
GACAGAGGAUGCAAGCGUUAUCCGGAAUGAUUGGGCGUAAAGCGUCUGUAGGUGGCUUUUCAAGUCCGCCGUCAAAUCCCAGGGCUCAACCCUGGACAGGCGGUGGAAACUACCAAGCUGGAGUACGGUAGGGGCAGGAGGGAAUUCCCGGUGGAGCGGUGAAAUGCAUUGAGAUCGGAAAGAACACCAACGGCGAAAGCAC